CAGUCGCCGCGGUAAAACGAGGGGGGCAAGCGUUGUUCGGAAUUAUUGGGCGUAAAGGGCGCGUAGGCGGUUUGGCAAGUUUCGUGUGAAAUCUUCGGGCUCAACCCGAAGUCUGCACGGAAAACUGCCGGGCUUGAGUAUGGGAGAGGUGAGUGGAAUUUCCGGUGUAGCGGUGAAAUGCGUAGAUAUCGGAAGGAACACCUGUGGCGAAAGCGGCUCACUGGACCAUUACUGACGCUGAGGCGCGAAAGCUAGGGGAGCAAACAGGAUUAGAUACCCCCGUAGUCCCUGUCUCUUAUAC
rnacentral:rRNA from 1 species